GCAAGUCGAACGAACUCUGGUAUUGAUUGGUGCUUGCAUCAUGAUUUACAUUUGAGUGAGUGGCGAACUGGUGAGUAACACGUGGGAAACCUGCCCAGAAGCGGGGGAUAACACCUGGAAACAGAUGCUAAUACCGCAUAACAACUUGGACCGCAUGGUCCGAGUUUGAAAGAUGGCUUCGGCUAUCACUUUUGGAUGGUCCCGCGGCGUAUUAGCUAGAUGGUGGGGUAACGGCUCACCAUGGCAAUGAUACGUAGCCGACCUGAGAGGGUAAUCGGCCACAUUGGGACUGAGACACGGCCCAAACUCCUACGGGAGGCAGCAGUAGGGAAUCUUCCACAAUGGACGAAAGUCUGAUGGAGCAACGCCGCGUGAGUGAAGAAGGGUUUCGGCUCGUAAAACUCUGUUGUUAAAGAAGAACAUAUCUGAGAGUAACUGUUCAGGUAUUGACGGUAUUUAACCAGAAAGCCACGGCUAACUACGUGCCAGCAGCCGCGGUAAUACGUAGGUGGCAAGCGUUGUCCGGAUUUAUUGGGCGUAAAGCGAGCGCAGGCGGUUUUUUAAGUCUGAUGUGAAAGCCUUCGGCUCAACCGAAGAAGUGCAUCGGAAACUGGGAAACUUGAGUGCAGAAGAGGACAGUGGAACUCCAUGUGUAGCGGUGAAAUGCGUAGAUAUAUGGAAGAACACCAGUGGCGAAGGCGGCUGUCUGGUCUGUAACUGACGCUGAGGCUCGAAAGUAUGGGUAGCAAACAGGAUUAGAUACCCUGGUAGUCCAUACCGUAAACGAUGAAUGCUAAGUGUUGGAGGGUUUCCGCCCUUCAGUGCUGCAGCUAACGCAUUAAGCAUUCCGCCUGGGGAGUACGGCCGCAAGGCUGAAACUCAAAGGAAUUGACGGGGGCCCGCACAAGCGGUGGAGCAUGUGGUUUAAUUCGAAGCUACGCGAAGAACCUUACCAGGUCUUGACAUACUAUGCAAAUCUAAGAGAUUAGACGUUCCCUUCGGGGACAUGGAUACAGGUGGUGCAUGGUUGUCGUCAGCUCGUGUCGUGAGAUGUUGGGUUAAGUCCCGCAACGAGCGCAACCCUUAUUAUCAGUUGCCAGCAUUAAGUUGGGCACUCUGGUGAGACUGCCGGUGACAAACCGGAGGAAGGUGGGGAUGACGUCAAAUCAUCAUGCCCCUUAUGACCUGGGCUACACACGUGCUACAAUGGAUGGUACAACGAGUUGCGAACUCGCGAGAGUAAGCUAAUCUCUUAAAGCCAUUCUCAGUUCGGAUUGUAGGCUGCAACUCGCCUACAUGAAGUCGGAAUCGCUAGUAAUCGCGGAUCAGCAGCCUC
rnacentral:rRNA from 1 species